rnacentral:rRNA from 1 species
CCUACGGAGUGCAGCAGUGGGGAAUAUUGCGCAAUGGGCGAAAGCCUGACGCAGCGACGCCGCGUGGGGGAUGAAGGUCUUCGGAUCGUAAACCUCUGUCAGCAGGGAAGAACGGUCACUGUGCUAAUCAGCAGUGAAUUGACGGUACCUGCAAAGGAAGCACCGGCUAACUCCGUGCCAGCAGCCGCGGUAAUACGGAGGGUGCGAGCGUUAAUCGGAAUUAAUGGGCGUAAAGCGCUCGUAGGCGGUAUGUCAAGUCAAGGGUGAAAUCCCCGCGCGCAAAGUGGGAACUGCCUGUGAACAUGGCAAACUGGAGUGUGUUAGAGGAUAGUGGAAGUCCAGGUGUAGGAGUGACAUCCGUAGAUAUCUGGAGGAACAUCAGUGGCGAAGGCGACUAUCUGGCACAUAACUGACGCUGAGGAGCGAAAGCGUGGGUAGCAAACAGGAUUAGAUACCCUGGUAGUC